GGGAGUUUGUUUUCAGAAUGAAUAUUGAUGUCACUGAUAGGCUUUUGAACGAUCUGGUGGGAACCAAAGCAGUCAUCAUGACAGGUCGCCAGGUGGCGCGAGUGAGCAAAAGCGCCGCUCAACAACCAGAAGAGUCUCGCGAGUGAGUCGGAGUCAGGCGUGCGGGUGGAGAUGAAUCAAGUGCAGGUCCGGCAAGAUGGCCACGGCGCGCGUCUUUUUCUCAGAUUGGAGCACUGGAGGGACGCAGCAGCAGCGUUUGAGGUUUGAGCGCAACACGCCACAACAAUCCACUUCCGUUUGCUUGAUUGAGUCAUUCACUCACUGACUGACUGACGUGUGCGCACGGUGGCUUCGGGUCGCGCCGCGCGGGCUGGA